CGAGCGGCGGACGGGUGAGUAAUGCAUAGGAAUCUGCCCGAUAGUGGGGGAUAACCUGAGGAAACUCAGGCUAAUACCGCAUACGUCCUACGGGAGAAAGCAGGGGCUCUUCGGACCUUGCGCUAUCGGAUGAGCUUAUGUCGGAUUAGCUGGUUGGUGAGGUAACGGCUCACCAAGGCGACGAUCCGUAGCUGGUCUGAGAGGAUGAUCAGCCACAUCGGGACUGAGACACGGCCCGAACUCCUACGGGAGGCAGCAGUGGGGAAUAUUGGACAAUGGGGGCAACCCUGAUCCAGCCAUGCCGCGUGUGUGAAGAAGGCCCUCGGGUUGUAAAGCACUUUCAGUGAGGAAGAAGGCUUGUCGGUUAAUACCCGGCAAGAAAGACAUCACUCACAGAAGAAGCACCGGCUAACUCCGUGCCAGCAGCCGCGGUAAUACGGAGGGUGCGAGCGUUAAUCGGAAUUACUGGGCGUAAAGCGUGCGUAGGCGGCUUGAUAAGCCGGUUGUGAAAGCCCCGGGCUCAACUGGGAACGGCAUCCGGAACUGUCAGGCUAGAGUGCAGGAGAGGAAGGUAGAAUUCCCGGUGUAGCGGUGAAAUGCGUAGAGAUCGGGAGGAAUACCAGUGGCGAAGGCGGCCUUCUGGACUGACACUGACGCUGAGGUACGAAAGCGUGGGUAGCAAACAGGAUUAGAUACCCUGGUAGUCCACGCCGUAAACGAUGUCGACUAGCCGUUGGGGUCCUCGAGACCUUUGUGGCGCAGUUAACGCACUAAGUCGACCGCCUGGGGAGUACGGCCGCAAGGUUAAAACUCAAAUGAAUUGACGGGGGCCCGCACAAGCGGUGGAGCAUGUGGUUUAAUUCGAUGCAACGCGAAGAACCUUACCUACCCUUGACAUCGUGCGAACUUUCCAGAGAUGGAUUGGUGCCUUCGGGAACGCACAGACAGGUGCUGCAUGGCUGUCGUCAGCUCGUGUUGUGAAAUGUUGGGUUAAGUCCCGUAACGAGCGCAACCCUUGUCCCUAUUUGCCAGCGAUUCGGUCGGGAACUCUAGGGAGACUGCCGGUGACAAACCGGAGGAAGGUGGGGACGACGUCAAGUCAUCAUGGCCCUUACGGGUAGGGCUACACACGUGCUACAAUGGCCGGUACAAUGGGUUGCAAAGCGGCGACGUGGAGCUAAUCCCAUAAAGCCGGUCUCAGUCCGGAUCGGAGUCUGCAACUCGACUCCGUGAAGUCGGAAUCGCUAGUAAUCGUGCAUCAGAAUGGCACGGUGAAUACGUUCCCGGGCCUUGUACACACCGCCCGUCACACCAUGGGAGUGGACUGCACCAGAAGUGGUUAGCCUAACUCGGAGGG
rnacentral:rRNA from 1 species